AUCUCACUGUCUCCCCACUCCAAUCAGUGAAACUGAUCUCCCCGUGAAGAAGCGGGGAUACAUAUAUAAGACGAGAAGACCCCAUGGAGCUUUAAACCCUGCAGCAUCUAUUUUUUAUAUGCCCUUAGACUCCCUUAGCAAAUGCUUGCUUGGUUUUAGGUUGGGGUGACCAUGGAGUAAAAAGUAACCUCCACGAAGAAAGGGAUAAAACCCUCAUCAAAGAACCACAAUUCUAUGAAUUAGUAUACUAACUUUUAAUGAUCCGAUAUUCGAUCAACGAACCAAGUUACCCUGGGGAUAACAGCGCAAUCCGCCUCGAGAGCCCCUAUCGACAGGCGGGUUUACGACCUCGAUGUUGGAUCAGGGUUUCCCA
rnacentral:rRNA from 1 species